UCGGAACUGAAGAUUUGGUGAUUGAGUGGCGGACGGGUGAGUAACGCGUGGGUAACCUACCCUGUACAGGGGGAUAACAGUCAGAAAUGACUGCUAAUACCGCAUAAGACCACAGCACCGCAUGGUGCAGGGGUAAAAACUCCGGUGGUACAAGAUGGACCCGCGUCUGAUUAGCUGGUUGGUGAGGUAACGGCUCACCAAGGCGACGAUCAGUAGCCGGCUUGAGAGAGUGAACGGCCACAUUGGGACUGAGACACGGCCCAAACUCCUACGGGAGGCAGCAGUGGGGAAUAUUGCACAAUGGGGGAAACCCUGAUGCAGCGACGCCGCGUGAGUGAAGAAGUAUCUCGGUAUGUAAAGCUCUAUCAGCAGGGAAGAAAAUGACGGUACCUGACUAAGAAGCCCCGGCUAACUACGUGCCAGCAGCCGCGGUAAUACGUAGGGGGCAAGCGUUAUCCGGAAUUACUGGGUGUAAAGGGUGCGUAGGUGGUAUGGCAAGUCAGAAGUGAAAACCCAGGGCUUAACUCUGGGACUGCUUUUGAAACUGUCAGACUGGAGUGCAGGAGAGGUAAGCGGAAUUCCUAGUGUAGCGGUGAAAUGCGUAGAUAUUAGGAGGAACAUCAGUGGCGAAGGCGGCUUACUGG
rnacentral:rRNA from 1 species